UUCUUCUCAUGCUGUAGCAGUUUGACUUCCUUGUCUUUCAAGAGCUGUGUAGUGAUAUCUUGACUAGAGGACCUUGUGCCCAUUUUCAAGGAGGAUUAAUAUGUUUAGAAGCUGUAUUUGCCAAAAGAUGCCUGAAGAAUAUACAUUAUUAUACACUCUUGAGAAAUAUCUUGAUUCAAAUAUCGUCAAUUUUUUUCUAGAUGCCAAAAGAUACUUAAGAACGGGCAUUCUAUUCUACUCUUUGAAAACUUACCUAGAUUCCAUUAUUUAUAUUUUCAUUUUGUAAUGGGCUCCUCUAAUUUUUUAUCUUCUCAACACUUAGUGAAUAAAAUGUUGACAUGAAUUUCAACUUCA